GCCCCUCUGGCGGAACUGGUAGACGCACGGGACUCAAAAUCCCGCGCCAGCAAUGGCAUGUCGGUUCGAUUCCGACGGGGGGCACCA
rnacentral:tRNA from 2 species